ensembl:snoRNA
CUCCAGUGAUGACCUCCAUUUUGUGCCACGUGUCUGGGCCACUGAUGUACUCUGAUGGGAUUGAGGAACUGAGGAG